GACAGUUCCGUGAGCCACAGCACAAGACAGAUGCUCUGCCUUCCACCUUGCUCAUUAAUCAGGUGGACAAGAGCAUAUCCCAGUCUUCACAGGGGAACUUUAGGCACCAGUCCGCCUGUCAGAGCAAACCUUGAGAUAGUCAAGAGCCUAGUGAUCAUCCCACCACCUCAGAAGUCCAUGUAUUCAGUCAGGCAGUACCCACCAUCACUGGUCCCAGAGACGAGAUUGUUGGAAGGGGAGAAAGAAGAGGCCAGGAAGGGGAAUAUCCGUGUGCUGUGCCCAGGAGGAUGUGUUCAGGCAUCAGGAUAAGCCAGCCAUUCAUUUCCCCUUCCUUAAGGAAAUGAGAUAUGGUUACGUGUGAAUGUGGUUGGAGGUUUUUCGGAAAUCCAGUCUUCGCUUACAAUUGAAGCACAGAAAAGAAAAAAAUUGUGUGAGAAAUUUAAAAAAACCAACCAACCAACCAAAGAAAAUUAAAAUAAAAAGAAAACAAACAAACAAAACAACAUAUAUAUAAUAUAUAUAUAAUAUAUAAUGGCCAGUCUUCGCGAGCGAAGACAACAACAACAACAACAAACACACACACACAAGGAAAACCACCUGGAAGAAGACAGGAAAAGCUGUAGCAGGGUGUUAGUAAUAUUUAUCUUUGACAAUCACAGAAUAUGUUUUAAAACAUAACUCUUCAUUCUUCAAUUAUCUACAAAACAUAAUUUUACCAGGUUUCUUCUGUGUGAAUUUGUUUUCUUCUUUUACUCUGUUUUUCCAGAGGAACAACCCACACACAAAUAUGCCAUCUGCCUGUCUGCCUCCCAGCUCCAGUUUCAGUCAACAGCCAACUUGAGCCAAAUUUGAGAGAGGUGCAACAUUCUCAAAGAUGCUAAGUUCUUACAGGUUCAUGGAAAAUUGGCAGCCUAAAAGAAGAAAGAAGCCCAUUUUAGUAUCUCAUAGUGAAUCAAAGAUAGAUCCAGCUCAAUGUCUCUAUCUGAAGAGGUAGCAGCCAUCUGGCCAGCAUGUAGGCACAUUUUGCCAAGACACAAAACCUUUAAGUUUGGAAAAGACCUCCAAGAUCACUUGAGUCUACCCUUUGGGAGAAGAGCCUGACCCCCAUGUGGCUACAACCCCUUUUCAGGUAGUUAUAGAGAGCAGUAAGGUCACCCUUGAGCCUCCUCAGGCUAAACAGUGCCAGCUCCCUCAGCUGUUCCUCAUAGGACUUAUCCUCUAGACCCUUCAUCACCUCCAUUGCACUUCGUUGGACAGAGUCCAGCACCUCAAUGUCUUUCCUGAAGCGAAGGACUGUCAUGGGUUUCAGUAGCCAGAGGGGGCUAUAGAGCGAUUUCAGUUGGAAACUACGAGAAGUUUCACUGUCCUAUCCUAUAAAGAAGCCAAAGACAGCCAGCUCCAGGAGGGACUUCCUUGGUGCUGGCCGAAGCUGAGCCAAUGAAAAGGCGCUUUUGUAGUAAUAUAUUUAAGAGCAGAGGAAGAGAAGGUUGUUGAACAGAAGAAAUUCCAGCCUGGAGAAGAGAGGAGGAGAACAUGGGAUAACAAGCAGACUCCAAGGUCAGAGCAGCAGGGGUGAGAGAAGAGGCCCGGGGGGCCUCCCUCUCUCCCUCCAGCAGGGGAAAGACUGAGAGCUGAGACCCCCGCCACUGGUGGAAGAUCAUUGGGGUUCAGAGAUUUUGCCCCCCCUGCAGCUCAUGGAAGAGCACAACGCUGAAACUGGUGAAAGGACACAGCAAAGUCCUGCAGGAGACGUGUAGCCCGUGGAGAGGAAAAUGCAGAAAUACGUUUUCCCAGGUAGGACUUGUCCAAAAUGACCCAUGGAGCAGCAGAUUGAAAAGAACUGUUACCCAAGGGGUGGAUGGACCCACAGGGAGAAGUCCAUCGAAGACUGUUUCCCGUGGGGAGGGACCCCACAGAAGCAGGGGAAGGACUCAGAGCCAUGACCCCCUAUAUCUGUGGUGAAGACAAUGAUGACACAGGUUGUCCCCCUGCAGCCCACAGAAAACCAUUGGGGCACAAAGAUCCCCCCUGCACCUGAUGGAGGAGUAACCCACAGGACAGCAGACUGGCAAGAACUGCAGUCAGAAGGGUGGACUCAAACUGAUUACAAAAACCCUUCCCGUUUCCCUGCACUGCUUGGGGGAAGAAGGAGAAC